AAAAAAAGGCGGGGUUUUUACUUCCCGACACCGUUUUCCACACCUGAUCUAAACCCCCCCUUACAUUCCCCCCUGCGCCUCACUUCGUCAUUUACCCAGCUCUCUCUCGCCGCCCACCAUUACCAUCUCAGUUUCCACACCUGACCCCUGCCAUCACCGCCUCCCUCUCCGGCUCUCCCCUUAAGAAGAAGUGAAUUUGAGCGUGGAGGAGUCCGGCCGUGCCUUCACAUCUCAGUUCAGAGAAUCAAAACUUCUCCCUUCUACCGAGAACGGAGCUUUGAUAAGAUAUUGGAGUAUCUGGCAUCUCGUUAAGGACUAUAUAUAUGAAAAAGUUGGAUUUUUACCGUGGAUUCUACCGUAAUUUAGUUUUGUUGAACUUUUGUAUUAUUUUGCGCUCUAGGGCAUGGAUAUGAUAUGUUUGAUGGUAGCACUUUUGUGGUACGAUUUUUCGUUAUUUUGUACUUUUGCGAAUUCGGAUACCGUAUGUUAAGUAUUUUGUGAACACCUUUUAUUUAUGGAAAUUAUGAAUAAAUUGUUCUUGAAUUUCAA